GCUUUGGCCAGUCCUGGUCAUCAUGACAGACGUCAGGAGCUUCGUGUACGCAGGCUACCAAGAAGAAGAAGGGAAACGCUUCGAGCAGGAUUAUGAUACGAGAAGAGAACGCUUCGAGUAGGAGAUGGGCCAGUGAGUAAGGCCCAAUAAAACAUGAGAUGACCCAUUAUUUUUCUUUACGCAGCCCAUUUCACUUCUGUACGCAGCCUUUGAUGUUCCCGAUGCCUACCGAUCGAUACCGAUCAGCCAUCAUCACGCCGUCGCCCAGCCUCGCCGCCUUGACCUUGACGUGAUGCCCUCCCCUGCGGCCCUUCCCAGGUUCUUCCAACCAAAGGUGUUCGUUGAGGAAGUCCACUUGUUUCUACGGCCGUCCACGCAAGAGGCAGUCUCCCCACUGCCGCGGCCACUGGCAUCCCGCUCAAAACUGUGAGGGAGCAGCCAAGAGAGGUAGCAAUGAGCAGGUUCUUUUGAUCUUCCCUUAUUUUCUGCUCUUCUAGCUCUAUCAUAUUUAAUUGUUGUCAUUCUAUAAUUGUUGUCAUGUUGACCUGAUUCUUGAAAGCUGAAUACUUAAUUACGAAUACAAGUUGUAGGAAGAUUCAGCCAGCGGGAUUACAAGUUAGAUUUUAUACGUUUUGUGUUAUAGAUUUUUCAUCUAGUCCUUGAGAAUGAAACUUUCUUAAACAAUUCAUUGUGCUUCGACUAAUUAAUUAUUUGAUUAACAUAUUUGAUUGCAUCGUCUAUCGAGGCUUUGAUAUUUUGUUGCUUGUAAAAGUUCGCCCCGGGUAACUUCAAAUCCUGGAUCCGCCGCUGGCUACGACAUGAGCUCAAGGAGGCGGCAACGAAUCGCGAGGUGGAUGCCCGAAACGCGGAGGCAACGACGAAUCGCAUGGCAGUGGUGACUCGAAUCGGGAGCUCAGCAACUUGAUGCAUCGAUUUCAGCUGGCGGCGGCUGCCGACGAGCGAAUCGAAGUGGGGUGGGAGGUCGGUAGGGUGCCGAGAAGAGUGGGAAAGUGUGGGUGGCCAUCGGAAGGCGAUCGCACGAGGGGAGGGAAUCUUUUGCUGAGAUUGCUUUUCGGCCGCUCAAAUUUGAGAGGCGGCUGACACAUCUCCUCAAAUAUUUGAGGGGUUAAACUAGAGAGUUCAGGUAGGUGCAGCUUAACCCCUAAAAAAAAGUAUCUUUUGAGGAGUCAACCCGUUUUAGAAGUUCCGCUAGAGAUGCCCUAAGAGAUCGAAACAUACCUACAGGUAUUAGGCAAGUAUCAAGGUGGGAAAGAAUUAUGUUUAUUUGUUUAUUUACCAAUACUCGAUGCAUACAUAUCAGGUAUGGUAUCCGAUACGGUUCUCUCAUUGUAUGACAUAUUGGGUUUGUGUGCGUUCA